rnacentral:rRNA from 1 species
UACGUAGGCAGCGAGCGUUGUUCGGAGUUACUGGGCGUAAAGAGUGCGUAGGCGGUUUUCUAAGUUUGGUGUGAAAUCUCCCGGCUCAACCGGGAGGGUGCGCGGAAAACUGGCGGGCUAGAGUGCGGGAUGGGAGAGUAGAAUUCCUGGUGUAGCGGUGAAAUGCGUAGAUAUCAGGAGGAAUACCGGUGGUGUAGACGGCUCUCUGGACCGCAACUGACGCUGAAACACGAAAGCGUGGGUAGCAAACAGG